CCUACACUGUAAAAUUGGGACAUUAUCAUACUUACUCUUUUCUUGAGCUUUUCUCAUCCUUUUUACUUUUUAACUUCUUUUUUGUUUGUUUUUCCUCUACCCUUUCUUCUACCUUUUUUGCCUUUUAUUUUUUUAAAUUGGAUUUUAUAGUAGAAGAGCAGAUCACUUUGGAUAGAUAGCUACGGCUCAAUACUGCUGGGUGCCCUCCUCCUAAGAUAUCACCUUCUUAUCCUCCACCGAACAGAAAACCAUCCCUUCCACUGGCAUGAACUUCUGCUCAUGAGACGCUUGCUGUGGCAGGAGCACAGGAAGCACUCGGUGAACGCAUGCCAGCUGAAACUGCUGUAGGUCACCCACUGGACUUCUGGAUCAAUGGCAUUGUGGCAUCCUGGACGUACCACAGCAUGAUUCUCCACCUAGCGGGGCUUGCAGAUGGGUUUGUCAUUGACCAUCAUGUAUAUUUCCCCAGGAAACUGAAACUGGAGAUCAAAGGAUGAUGCGCUAUUCAAAAAAGUAACAGAACUCCAGACUGUAAGAAAAUGUUCUACAGCAAAAGAUUGAUGAGUAGAUACAGAAAGAAAUGAUGGAUGCCAACGUAAAUUAUUUGGGUAUACAAGUAUAACUUCUUAUCUUUCCUCAUUUUAUUUUUAUUUUUUCUCUUUUAUUAACCAGCUAACUACCAGUCCAGAUCGUGUCUGAUUAGAGAGAUUUUGUCAUGUUGAGGUCAGGGCCAGGCUAAAGUUUCUUUUGUUCUCUGAGUACAGUAUGAACAGGAUGUACUAUAGUCAUGAAUAGUGCGAAUAAGAUCCUGAAAAACAUUUUUCUAACCAGGACUUUUGGGCAUAAAUAUUUAUAACAAAGCUAAUUACAUAUUAUAGGGUAGUAGUAUCAUUUUCUAGGUUUGAAACCCUGUCUUCUGUUUUUAUCAAUUACUCCAUGAUUUCAAGACAUGGUUUCUACCACUGAGACAUUAUAAUAAUAAGACCAGCUCCCUGGGUUAAGAGGAUUAACUGUUAAUAUACAUAAAGCACAGUACCUGGCAUACGGUAGAAACUGAAAAUAUGAUACUUAUUUUCAGAUACUUAUUUUACUCCUUAAAGUAGGUUUCGAGUGCUUCUGUUUUCCAAUUGAUUUUUCAUAUAUUGAUGGGCUCUGGAAAUUGUCGGAUGAAAAAGAUUGAACUUUGUGCACCUUUUGGGAGUAGCUAAGGCAAAUUCGAGAGAACAAUAGGAUGGCUGGGACCCCGUAAUUAGAUUAUAUGGUGGCCAGAGGUCAAAACCGAGCAGCAAGCAGAACCUUCAGUUAAGGGUCAGUGAUCAAGCACAGGCAGAGGUCAGUCUUUGCCGGGAGCGCCCAAGCACUGUCGCCAGAGGCAAUAAGCUCCGCAGCAUGGUUACUGCAGGCACGUCCACUGCUGCUCUUCGCUCACUCUCCACACGACAAGGCCUUUUCAAGCCUAAAUCAGAUAUGUCACUCCUGUGCGCAAAACCGUACAGAGUCUUCUCAUUUCAGAGUAAAAGC
rnacentral:lncRNA from 1 species